AGAUUAGCCUUUCUCUCAGGAGGUUUAACACUUCAUGACUGACAGCUACCCUUCAUCACAACAGACUCCAUACAAACAUGACUUUGAUCAGCCUCAGCAUCUUGCUCUUCAUCCUCACUCACGAAUCCAGUGGUCAGAUCACUGUGACUCAGACUCCUGCAGUAAAGGCUGUUCUCCAUGGACAGACUGUCACUGUGAGCUGUAAAGUCAGUCCGGCUGUGUAUGACGAUGAUAAUUUAGCCUGGUAUCAACAGAAACCUGGAGAAGCUCCUAAACUCUUAAUCUAUAGUGCAACAUACCUUGAGUCUGGGAUUCCGUCUCGAUUCAGUGGCAGUGGAUCUAGUACUGACUUCACUCUGACCAUCAGUGGAGUCCAGGCUGAAGAUGCAGGAGAUUAUUACUGUCAGAGUUACCACUAUAUCAGUAGUAAAGAUGUGUUCACUUUCGGCGGCGGUACCAGACUGGAUGUUGGAAGUAACACAGCCCCCACCCUAACGGUCCUGCCCCCCUCCAGUGUGGAGGUGUCCAGCAAGAACACGGCCACCCUGAUGUGCCUGGCCAACAGGGGCUUCCCCUCCGACUGGAAGCUGAGCUGGAAGGUGGACGGUAAAAGCAAAGUGGCGGAGACGAGCCGCGGGCUCCUGGAGAAGGACGGCCUGUACAGCUGGAGCAGCAGCCUGAGCCUCACUGCGGAGGAGUGGAAGAAGGCGGGCUCAGUGGUCUGUGAGGCCAAUCAGGGCUCCCAGGCUACUGUCACUCAAACGCUGAAGAGGGCCGACUGUUCAGAGUAGAUGAGCUCACUGAUGAGAUUACUGUGUUUUUACUGUGCUGUGCUACACUCUUCCAUAAACUACUUUUUUAAUGCAGAUACUAAACGUUUUAUUAGCAUCCUUUUCAUUCAUAAUGUAGCUUCUGUUUUUGAUUAGAUUGCAUCCAUGUUAUGUUUCGUAUUGUGCUCAAGUGAUGAAUUAAAUGCAUUUAAGAACAAUAAAAACAUUUCCAGAGAA